rnacentral:misc_RNA from 1 species
GAAAUAAACCUGAUGAGUUGCUGCUGGCUCUCCAGGGAGCAUGUGCACACUUGUCAUCUUUAUAUCUCCACCUGUGCACCUUUUGUAGACCUGGAUAUCUCUCUGAGUGCUUAGCACUUCAGGUUUGAGGAUUGACUUUAUUGUUCUCUCUUUAUAUUUCCAGGCCUAUGUUUCUUCAUAUACCCCAAUGUAUGUUAUAGAAUGUAGUAAAUGGGCCUUUGUGCCUAUAAACCUAUACAACUUUCAGCAACGGAUCUCUUGGCUCU